GUGGAUGUGACUCAGUGGUAGAGUGCUUGCCUAGCACGUGUGAGGCCCUGGGUUCGAUCCCCAGUAACACACA
rnacentral:tRNA from 2 species